rnacentral:rRNA from 1 species
GACGAACGCUGGCGGCGUGCCUAACACAUGCAAGUCGAACGGAAAGGCACUGCUUUUGUGGGGUGCCCGAGUGGCGAACGGGGGAGUAACACGUGAGUAUCCUGCCCUUGACUUUGGGAUAACUUCAGGAAACUGGGGCUAAUACCGGAUAGGAGAUGCUGCUGCAUGGUGGGGGUUGGAAAGUUUCGGCGGUUGGGGAUGGACUGGCGGGUUAUCAGCUUGUUGGUGGGGGAGUGGCAUACCAAGGCUUUGACGGGUAGCCGGCCUGAGAGGGUGACCGGCCACAUGAGGACUGCGAUACGGCCCAGACUCCUACGGUAGGCAGCAGUGGGGAAUAUUACACAAUGGGCGGGAGCCUGAGACAGCGACGCCGCGUUCGGAAUGACGUUCUUCUGGUUGUAAACCGCAUUCGCCUGUGACGAAGCGUGUGUGACGGUAAUGGGUAAAGAAGCACCGGCUAACUACGUG